UACGUAGGGUGCGAGCGUUGUCCGGAAUUAUUGGGCGUAAAGAGCUCGUAGGCGGCCUGUCGCGUCGGAUGUGAAAGCCCGGGGCUCAACCCCGGGUCUGCAUUCGAUACGGGCAGGCUAGAGUGUGGUAGGGGAGACUGGAAUUCCUGGUGUAGCGGUGAAAUGCGCAGAUAUCAGGAGGAACACCGGUGGCGAAGGCGGGUCUCUGGGCCGAUACUGACGCUGAGGAGCGAAAGCGUGGGGAGCGAACAGG
rnacentral:rRNA from 1 species